CUAAAAUAGGAAAUCAAAGCAUGCCAUGCUGAAUAGAAAAACAACGAGACAGUUUAACAAGGAUCGAGAAAAUUAGUGCAAGCUAAAACUUAAAUCAGCGAGCGAUCGAGAUGAAGGGACCCAAGACUUGUGUGCGCAUGGAUGCCAAUGGCAAUGUAAAGUACGGUUUUCAGGAUGGACGACGAUUGCUCGCCAUCCGAAGCUCUUUUGAAUUUAAGAAUAAAACGUGGCUGCUUAUUUUAUGGGAGGGAUACGAUUGUCUGGAAUCGGUGCCACUAAAACUGAUCCCCAUGCAUUACUAUCCAGCUGUUAAGCAGUUUUUUUCGACAGCUGAUUUUCGUUGCAAAGACUAGAAGGAGAAUAAACUGAAGAGCGGAUAAGGCAACAGUUUGAAUAUUAUGCUAUUGAAACAGUACUGAAAUUAAAAACGGAAUAAUUAAAUGCAUUAUUAUGAUUAA